CAACAGGGAUUGCCUCAGUAACGGCGAGUGAAGCGGCAAAAGCUCAGAUUUGAAAUCUGGCGUCAUAUUGGCGUCCGAGUUGUAAUCUGUAGAGGAGUAUUCGAGUGUGGCGCUGGCUUAAGUUCCUUGGAACAGGACGUCAUAGAGGGUGAGAACCCCGUUAACGGCCUUUGUCUUAUGCUCAUGUGAAUCUCCUUCAACGAGUCGAGUUGUUUGGGAAUGCAGCUCUAAAUGGGUGGUAAAUUCCAUCUAAAGCUAAAUACUGGCAAGAGACCGAUAGCGCACAAGUAGAGUGAUCGAAAGAUGAAAAGAACUCUGAACAGAGAGUUAAAUAGUACGUGAAAUUGUUGAAAGGGAAGCACUUGCUACCAGACACGCCUGUAGUUGAUCAACCUUCAUUCUUGAUGGUGCACUCAGCUAUAGGUGGGUCAGCAUCAGUUACGGCGGUGGGAUAAAGACUUGGGGAAUGUGGCUUCUCUCGGGAAGUGUUAUAGCCCUUUGUGUAAUACCACCUGCUGUGACUGAGGACCGCGC
rnacentral:rRNA from 1 species